rnacentral:tRNA from 1 species
GGAGAGCUGUCCGAGUGGCCGAAGGAGCACGAUUGGAAAUCGUGUAGGCGGUGUUGAGCCGCCUCGAGGGUUCGAAUCCCUCGCUCUCCG